CCAGUUGUCGAUGGGUUCGCCCAAGUGAGGUUUUGGUAUUUGUUGUUUUGAUUUGUUCCAGAGCUUCGCCGUGCGCAUGGAAAAAGCUGGGUUUUAGAGUCACUGGUAUCGAUUUUCGGGGAGAUUCCAUCGGAUUCGGCGGCUUGGGUUCGCUUUUGCUGUCGAUCGCUGAAAAAUUGUCAUGACCAACCAACAAGGUCUGGUUAAUCUUUUCCAGAGCAUCCAUGCUUCAAAAGCUUAUGGCAACAGGAUUAUUGCAGAGUGAGCUUCUUAAACUUGGCAUGCAGAAGUAGCAGCUUUGGUGAUGAUGAUGAUGUUGUCGAGACUAUAAACAAAGAAGGGAAUGAUGCUCGAAGGAGAUGGAAGCAACAGGGACAAGUUCAUGGUGUUUUCUUCAAGUGUAUGACCAAUAUAAUUAUUCUAUUAUUCAUCCGAAUUCUAUUCUUAUUUUUAUAUUUAAGGGGAGCUCAUCUUGACAAAGAAGGAAUGGGGCAUAUUUCAAUUA